rnacentral:tRNA from 3 species
ACUCUAAUAGUUUACAACAAAACAUUGGUCUUGUAAACCAAAGAUCGAAGACUACAACCUUCUUAGAGUG